rnacentral:rRNA from 1 species
AAAUAGCUCUUUAAUUGGGAGAUGGUAUGAACGGUGACACUAAUUAAGUCAUGAUUAUUUGACCGUGAAUUUUUACUCUUAAUGAAAAUAUUAAGAUAUUAUUUUUAGACAAAAAGACCCUAUGAAGCUUUAUAACUACUAAUACUAUAAUUAAAUUUUAAAAAGUUAUUUUUUUGGGGAAAAGGAUAAUAAUGGUAUUAUCAGAUUUAACUUUUAAAUAUCCAUAGAUGAAUUAAUAGUAAGCUCCUCUAGGGAUAACAGCAUAAUCCUAGCUGAG